rnacentral:lncRNA from 1 species
UGGUGGGGGUUUUUAUUUUUUUAUUCCUGUUAUGAUUCCGUAUUCAGUGUUCCAUGCCUAUUACGAAUCUGUGUGCUUCCCUCUGCUUUCCUCUGUUUUAUAUUCCUUAUGGGUGCCGUAUUUAUGUUAUGGCAUCUGCUUCUGUGCUUUACUAUGUGUUUGUGUGAUAUCUUGUGCCUUGAGCUGGGGGUCUUUCGGAAACAGCCUUUCUACUUCAUCAGAGGUAGAGGUAUGGACUGCGUACAUCUUACCCCCCCCAGACCCCACUAAGUGGGAAUACACUGGGUUUGUUGUUGUUGUUGUUGUUGUUAGA